rnacentral:snRNA from 1 species
AUUGAUGACUUGGUCGUAAACGGC